GCGUGAGCCACGGCUCCCGGCCCAGACCAGGUCAGUUUCUUAAGUGAUCUGAGCUAUAAUGGCGGUAACAGGGCACUUAGCCCGCUGAAAGCUCCUAACCCAUCUGGGAUGAGACCUAGCGCUUCCAGGACGAGCUGAUGUUGAGCUGAGACCUCGAAGGACAGGUGGGUCGCAGCAGGAGGACUAGUCACUCCGGAGCGACUUCUAGGCUGAGACUAAGGAGGUUCCACGCAGGUCCGCAAAGUCAGGCUUACGCUUGCUCCUGACACUACUUCCUUUACCUCCACGGCUCCAUCUUUGUUCUGCGCAAGUGCGCACGCGCAGGCUCCGAAAGCGGAACCUCGCACAGAGGGACCACAACUCCCAGAGUGCUCCGCGUCCUGGCUUUUUCCUCCACUUCUGCUCCAGGGCGCACGCGCAGCCCGGGGAGCGGUUUCUCGCGCAUAAGGACCACAACUCCCAGAGUGCUCCGCGUCCUCGCCGCUGUCGCCGCCGCCGAGACCAAGAUGGCUGCGAGUAAGUGCAGGUGCCGGUGGCGCGCGGGGCUCGGGUAGUUUCGGGAACCUCCGGGCGGUCCGGGGACUGAGGAGUCGGCGCCUUCCUCAAGAAUGCCUGGGACAAGGAGCCAGUGCUGGUCGUGUCCUUCGUCGUCGGGGGCCUCGCUGUAAUUCUGCCCCCAUUGAGCCCCUACUUCAAGUACUCCGCCAUGAUCAACAGGGCCACGCCCUACAACUACCCAGUGCCCGUCCGCGAUGAUGGGAACAUGCCCGACGUGCCCAGCCACCCCCAGGACCCUCAGGGCCCCAGCCUGGAGUGGCUGAAGAAACUGUGAGCACCUCCACUGACAGAGGCGGCCCCUCCCACGGCUCCCAAUAAAAAUGUGAAAACCAA